rnacentral:miRNA from 1 species
UGACAGAAGAAAGUGAGCAC